rnacentral:rRNA from 1 species
UACAGAGGGUGCAAGCGUUAAUCGGAAUUACUGGGCGUAAAGCGUGCGUAGACGGUUGCGUAAGUCAGAUGUGAAAGCCCCGGGCUCAACCUGGGAAUUCCAUUUGAGACUGCGUAGCUAGGGUGCGGAAGAGGGAAGCGGAAUUUCCGGUGUAGCGGUGAAAUUCGUAGAUAUUCGCAAGAACACCAGUGGCGAAGGCGGCUCACUGGCCCGGUACUGACGCUGAGGUGCGAAAGCGUGGGGAGCAAACAGG